rnacentral:pre_miRNA from 1 species
AAUAAACUCUGAAUUUUCGUGUCCAAAGUUUGACUGUCCGUCUUAUUUGAAAAAAUUAUGGAAAAAAUUAAAAAGACAAGUCAUGCAUAAAGUAUUAAUCAUGUUUUAUCAUCUAACAACAAUAAAAAUACUAAUUAUAAAAAAUUUCAUAUAAGACGGACAGUCAAACGUUGGACACGGAAAUGCAGGGUUUGUCUUUUU